rnacentral:rRNA from 1 species
UACGUAGGGUGCGAGCGUUAAUCGGAAUUACUGGGCGUAAAGUGUGCGCAGGCGGCGCCGCAAGUCGAGUGUGAAAGCCCCGGGCUUAACUUGGGAACUGCGCUCGAAACUAUGGUGCUGGAGUGUGGCAGAGGAAGGUGGAAUUCCACGUGUAGCGGUGAAAUGCGUAGAUAUGCGGAGGAACACCGAUGGCGAAGGCAAUCCCCUGGGCCUGCACUGACGCUCAUGCACGAAAGCGUGGGGAGCAAACAGG